rnacentral:misc_RNA from 1 species
UACAGAGGGUGCGAACGUUGCUCGGAAUCACUGGGCGUAAAGCGCGUGUAGGCGGGUCGGCAAGUCAGAUGUGAAAGCCCCGGGCUCAACUUGGGAAUUGUAACUGAAACUGCCGGUCUUGAGUGUCGGAGAGGGUAGCGGAAUUCCUGGUGUAGAGGUGAAAUUCGUAGAUAUCAGGAGGAACACCGGUGGCGAAGGCGGCUACCUGGACGACUACUGACGCUGAGACGCGAAAGCGUGGGGAGCAAACAGG